AUGGACAUGGCCUCUACACCGGCGAACAUUCAAGCCAAUACCCAUCUAGUUCGUAUGUAUGCAAGUAGCGCCACAUUUAAUAAAUCUUUGUUUCUGUCUGACCAAAGAGGGCAGGCCUGGCGCAGUGGUGAAGUCCUCCCCACUUGUGCCAAGAGGUCCUGGGUUCGAACCAGCCUCUCUGCAUUGCACUUUGCAGGGGUAAGACUAGGUUCCUAUAAUCCCUCCCCAGACCCCACCUUGUGUGGGAGCUUCUAUGCACUGGGUCUGUCCUUUUUCUGUCUGACCAAAUCCUUUGGUUUGUAUUGA
rnacentral:rRNA from 1 species